GAUGAACGCUAGCGGCAGGCCUAACACAUGCAAGUCGAGGGGUAACAGAGAUAGCUUGCUAUCUGCUGACGACCGGCGCACGGGUGAGUAACGCGUAUACAAUCUACCUUGUACUGGGGUAUAGCCCAGAGAAAUUUGGAUUAACCCCCCAUAGUACCAUUAUAUAGCAUUAUAUUUUGGUUAAAGGUUACGGUAUAAGAUGAGUAUGCGUCCUAUUAGUUAGUUGGUAAGGUAACGGCUUACCAAGACAACGAUAGGUAGGGGCCCUGAGAGGGGGAUCCCCCACACUGGUACUGAGACACGGACCAGACUCCUACGGGAGGCAGCAGUGAGGAAUAUUGGACAAUGGAGGUAACUCUGAUCCAGCCAUGCCGCGUGCAGGAAGACUGCCCUAUGGGUUGUAAACUGCUUUUAUACAGGAAGAAACACAGUCACGUGUGAUUGUUUGACGGUACUGUAAGAAUAAGGAUCGGCUAACUCCG
rnacentral:rRNA from 1 species